GCAGCUGCUCAAUGUAAAGCACAACAAAUUGCAAUUUUAACUCGUCAUAUAACAAGCUUUUAUGGUCAAAAUACAAGUGCUUCAAAGAUAACUAGCAGCAAUCAUUUUGAAGGUUGAUUUUCAGUGCCUAAAGACGUCUAGCAGUGAUAAUUUACAAUCAGACAUGAUAGAUGAUAUGAUUAACUUUAAUAAUAGAGAAAAUGAAG